AUCGAACAACAUUGGCGUAUGCAGAUUUACUAUGGCCGGUUUAAACUCUUCCCUCUGGGCAGCGGUGCUGGUGGCAGCACAGUAGACCACCUUCUCCUCGAACCCAAACAGGAAGUCCCUGGUGUAGCUCAUAAGUCCCUCCCCUCCUCCCUCUCUGCUCCCUCUCCUGGAAAGCAACCGGAACGGCAGUUCUGCAAAUAAGAAGAGUGAGGGGCUCAGCAAUAGGCCCUUUUCCCCUCCUUCCGUGGUGUCCCAUUUUGAUCCUGUUUUGAUGAUUUUGACCAACCCAGACGCUGCUCCGGAUUGGUGUGGAAGGGACCAUUUUUACAAACAAGCUGCUCCAGCUAUUCCAGAGGUAGCUACAAUCAACUGCUGGGGAGACAGUUUUGGUGGCAUCUGCAGCUGGGGAGUGUCCCUGUGGAGCUACUUUUCUCCACCACUGGUCUGCAGGCAGCUGCUUCACCCAGCCCCAGGUUGGCCAUGUUGUUACCGUGCUUUGCCACGAAAGGUAUUUUUGCAACUGGUCGCUCUCCCCCCUCCCUUUCCAGUGAUCCCCCUCCCCGGUUCUUUCCGCCCUCCGUGAUUUUUCUCAUUUGUGCCAGUAGCUGCCCACCCCCAUGCCAACCCCACCCCUCCGUGCCCUCCGCCCCCAAAAUUCUCCCCCCUCCCCUUUUCCUCUUGUCUUUUGUCUGGGAGGGGGGACCAAAAAAACCGAAGAAACUGGCGUGUGAUUCUGUGUCUGUCUCUGGCUCGCGGUUUUUAUUUUAUAUUGUUUGUGUCUUGGAAGGGGAGAUUUAAAAAAAGAAGAAAAUAUAAUAAUUAAUAUAUAACUGGGGGUCGCGAGUGCGCAGGGGCUUGUUCCUCUGCAGCCCAAGACUGUUUCCCCCGUGCCCAAAACUUAAUAUAUAUGUAAAUAUCUAUCUCUGCCUUUUAACCACCUUUGAUACUUCAAUAAAUCUCCCUGAUUAAUUCUUUUAA